rnacentral:rRNA from 1 species
AGCGAACGCUGGCGGCAGGCUUAACACAUGCAAGUCGAACGGGCGUAGCAAUACGUCAGUGGCAGACGGGUGAGUAACACGUGGGAACGUACCCUUUGGUUCGGAACAACACAGGGAAACUUGUGCUAAUACCGGAUAAGCCCUUACGGGGAAAGAUUUAUCGCCGAAGGAUCGGCCCGCGUCUGAUUAGCUUGUUGGUGAGGUAAUGGCUCACCAAGGCGACGAUCAGUAGCUGGUCUGAGAGGAUGAUCAGCCACACUGGGACUGAGACACGGCCCAGACUCCUACGGGAGGCAGCAGUGGGGAAUAUUGGACAAUGGGCGCAAGCCUGAUCCAGCCAUGCCGCGUGAGUGAUGAAGGCCCUAGGGUUGUAAAGCUCUUUUGGCGGGGAAGAUAAUGACGGUACCCGCAGAAUAAGCCCCGGCUAACUUCGUG